AGGCUGGCCGGGGUACGUGGGGAUGUUUCACAAUGCGAGUUCCUUCCUGUAUGUGUACACGCACGCGCACGCACACUGGCCCUAGGUAAGAAGUUGCCAGAUCUUUAACGUCUUCAAACCACCCUUUCUGGAUCUUUUCCCCCUCCUUUUGGAAGCAGGUCCUGCAGCCUGGAUUCUCCUUUCUUCUUUACAAAAAGCCUGGUGUGGGUCACAGCUCCCGAGGCUCCUGGGUUGCAGUGGCCUCUUUUCUUCAAGAAUGAACGUACUGGGUAGCAAAGCAGAGAGAAGGAGGCUUGCCCCAAGCUGGCAGCCUCAGUAUUUCUGGGACAUCAGUGCUGCUCCUUCUCACAAGUUACAUCCUGUCCGUGGACAGACUGGCCCAACAACAAGCAAACCAGUCAUCUUCCCUGAGCACUGUGGCUGGAGGUGAAUGUCCCAGCAAGUUUGCCAUCAUGUCUCCAUCACUACACAAACUCCGUGGCUAAGAGACGAGCUUUGCUGAGGCUGUGAGCUGUUAUCAUAAAGCACAGAGUGGCACCUUCAUUUAGGGAGUGUGGACGUGGGAUUUAGAAGUGAGAGGAUGAUGAAGUGGGACUGAAACCUGAGUUCGAUCUCACCUGGAAGAAAAACAGCACUGAGAGUAUCUGCCCGUCUUUCCACUCAAAGACUAGCCUCCCUGGUGUGAUUUCCUUAAAGCAGCCUGUGGUGUGACAGAGCCAAGUGAGACAACUCCGGUGACGCCCUCCCCUCCGGCCAGGCGCACACCUGAUUCACAGACGCUGGAGGGAGGAAGGGGGAAGAGGAUUUCAGAAGCACAGCCAGCUGGGCCCCUCCCCUACCUCCUAAAAGCAAAUAUAGUUAGUCCUCAUCUACUUGGGAGCUGAGCAGGCUCUUAAUUCAGAAAACACCAUGACCAGCACUUAAUUUCCUAAGUGUAAGGACAUAAGGGAUAUAUCAUCUUCUGGAUGAAAAAAUUCUCCUGAAAUAAAAUAAGAGUUAAUAUUUUUUAGGGGGAGGGUAUAGCUCAGUGGUAGAGCACGUGCUUAGCAUACAUGAGGUCCUGCGUUCAAUCCCCAGUACCUCCAUUAAAAUAAACAAAUAAACAAACCUAAUUAUCCGCCCCCAUAAAAACAAAACAAAAACGAAAGAGCUAAUUUUGUAUUAAAUACUUAUUAUUUGUAUUAAAUACUUAUUUUUUUUUUAUUAAACACAGUGCAGUAGGUGCUAAGGCCAGCACCUUACCUGCUUUUACUUAUGACAAAGUUCACAUCUGCAAAAAAUUUCAUUAUUUCACUAUUUUAUAGAUGAAGAAACUUAGGACAGCAGCUUGCCCAGAGUUUCACAGCUGAGCCAAAAUUUAAAGCAAAAUUUUGUGUGUUUGUUUUUAAGAGCCAGAACUAUUGACAAGUAUAUCACAUUACCUAUGGAGUAACCAAUUCAGUAAAAUGAAUAUGACUAGCAUGGAGCCUGCCUGCCUAACCUUACAAUUAGUUUGUAUUGUAUACAUAAUAACUUAUUUUGGCAUAAAAAUUUUUACCACAUUUAAAAAAAAAUCACAAAACGUUGAAACUUUCAAAGUAAACAUUUCACAACAAUGAGAAAUAACUGUAUCAAAACCUGGGUAAAAUUCAUAACAUAGACAGCAUCAAGAUUCACGUCAAAGGCAGUGAUCCCACUGAAAGUCACAAAGGAAAAAAAACACAAUUCAGUAUUCACAGUAGCACUAUUUACAACAGCCAAGACAUAGAAGCAAUCUAAGUGUACAUCGAUAGAUCACUGAAUAAAGAAAUUGUGGUAUAUAUAUAUAUAUAUAUAUAUACACACACAUACACACAAUGGAAUACUACACAGCCAUAGAAAAGAAUGAAAUAAUGCCAUUUGCAGAAACAUGGAUGGCGCUGGAGAUCAUUAUUCUAAGUCAGAUAAGCCAAAAAGAGAAAGAAAAAUAUCAUAUGAUAUCACUCAUAUGUGGAAUCUAAAAAAAAAAAAAGAAAAAGACACAAAGACAAAACAGAGACAGACUCACAGACAUAGAACAAAGUUAUGGUUACCAGGAGGGAAAAGGGGUGGGAGGGAUAAAUUGGGAGUUCGAGAUUUGCAGAUACUAACUACUAUAUAUAAUGUAGAUAAACAACAAAUUUCUUCUGUAUAGUGCAGGGAACUAUAUUCAAUAUCUUGUAGUAACCUAUAAUGAAAAAGAAUGUGAAAAGGAAUAUAUGUAU